AAGAAGCAAGAUGUUGCCAGUUUUAUUGCCACUGGAAAUCUAUAUUGGUUUCAGAAAGGAAAGAAACAGAGAUAUUUAUUUUCUGCUUAACAAACAACUAAACGUAGUUUAACAAAGAGCUUUAUUAGUUUUGCCAACAGGAUUUAGUGACGCAGCUAUCAUACUACCGACUGCACAUACCUUUUAAUUUUCUAAGUUUAUAUCAAUGAUAUUUCAGAGAAAAAAAGGUAAGAGUAAUUACCCAAUGUCUGUUUAGAUGUUUUUAAGUUGUAGUGCAAGUCACAACUAGAGGCACAUGGUGCCAUUAUGUGCCAUUAAUGAAUCAUCAAUGAGCUGGCAGCGCGUAAUCUAUGUUGCCCUAUAAACGUGAAAAUAGUCGCUUCAGUAAUAAUAGUUUCAGAUUAGAGUUAUCAUCUAUUCCUGCCCCACUCCCACGGGUAUUGGAUGAAUGUCAACGUGGUUUUCUUGUCUGUAAGUGAGAGCUAAUUUGCAACAACUCAGUUGAAUAUGAAACACUCAUAGAAAUGUUGCACACGACUAAGAAGAAUGCCAGGGAAGACCAAACUGAACUUAAUGUAUAUGUAUAUAUAUAUAUACAUAUAUAUAUAUAUAGAUAGAUAUAGAUAUAGAGAGAGAGAGAGGGGGGGGAGAGAAUAUUUUAAAAGUGUACGAUCACCAAAACAGAAAAAAGGUUUCGGCAGUUAUUUUUCAAGAAACGUCAUAAAUAAGCGAAGAAUAUUCCGUUCCACUUAGAAAAUAGUUAAUGCCAAACUUUAAGGAGUAUUUUCAAUAAACAGACUUAAGGAUUAAAAGAAAGGGAAAAUAAAAAAAACUGAACUUGUAAUAUUUAUAAAUUUAAUGUGGGAAAUAACGGUAACGGAAAUAUAUUUAAGGGGGGGGGGUAAGUCGAUGCCACAGACUUCAAUGAUGAACUGGUACUUCUUUUAAUCGAUCUCUAAAGGAUGAAAGACAGAGUGGAUGUCGGUGGAAUUUGUCGCGAAGCAUUUUGCCCGGCGUGCUAACGAUUCUGCCAGCUCGCCAUUUUGAACAAAUGGAAAGAAAUUAAAUAAACUAUUUUACUGCAAAACCUUAUUCUGAAAGAGGGAUAAAUAUAUAAUUAUUGAGAACUUUUCUAAUUGUUACACUGUGGGGAGUACAAACCCUUAUUGGAAAUUAGAAUCAUUGUAUCUGCUAAUCAGUUAGUACCACAAACUGUGCGCCAAAGAAUUGUAUGGCUUUAGUUAUUCCUGCUUUUACAGGAACUUUGAGCGUCAAGAUCAAAUCUAAUGACACCAACAAUAUGGAAGUCAACUAGAGUUUUGGCAGUUGAUUUAUUUCUUUGUGGCACAAUUACAGAACGGAAGAUUCAGUUUACCCUUUCAGACACAAUGUCACUGUUCACUUUACUCCAGCAUUUAUGAGUUGAUGCCAAAACAUUCGUCGCACUGUCUGCAGCUUAACCUCUCUCACUGAUCCACUGCAGAAUUUAUGAUAGCUUGGUGGUAAAAGGUCUCUGAGAGAAUUCUCUUUCCUUGUUAGAGUACGUUACAUUUUAAUUUAUAUGUUUUAAUACAUCUCUAAGGAGUAGCGAAGAACUGUCCUGCCACAAUUCUUUUCUCGAGUAUGAUGGAAUCCGCAAGCAACCUUAUCCUACCCAUCGCUACCCCUUUAAUGACACGAACUAAUAUUACAUCAACAAGUUUGGAAAACAAUGGCAGCAAUGAUGAAAGCAAUUGUUCAAAAUCGUUUGGACAGAAAAAAAUAUGAAUUCUAUAGAGGAAGUCAGAACAGUACUGGAGGAGUCCUAUUUGUCACAGCCAACUGAAUUUUGAAAGAAAGGCCUACCAACCCAUCCAGAGAAGUGGAAGAGCAUUGUAGAAAAUGAAGGGGAGUAUAUUUUGGAUUUAAAAAGAAUUUGUUUAUCUUAAUUUUGAAAAAUAGGAAGUAUAAAAAAAUCGCAUUAUUUAUGGGAUGACCCAAUAUAUCCAUCCAUCCAUCCAUCCAUCCAUCCAUCCAUCCAUCCAUCCAUCCAUCUAUCUAUCUAUCUAUCUAUCUAUCCAUCUAUCCAUCUAUCUAUCUCUCUCUCUCUAUCUACCUAUCUCUCUCUCUCUCUCUCUAUCUAUCUAUCUAUCUACCUAUCUAUCUCUCUAUCUAUCUAUGAUGGUUGUCUACCCUUAUGCAGAGUCUGACCACCCCCUGUACCUACACCUCAGAUCCAUCAUGGCGUCUGUUUUGGCUUUUUAAAUCAGACAAUGUAUUGAAAAGACACCCACACAGAUUGCAUGUCUGCUUUGGACCACCAAGAGCUGCAGUUAAGUUCUGAUCUUUGUGGAUCUUAAAAUGUCUUUUGAAGCCGCCGUAUGAUCUACAGACCUUACGCCAUACACGGCAUUGGAAGGUGUGCACAGAUAUAUAGGCAGAAUAGUUGGUGAAGGUUCACUUUUCAUUAGUCCACAAAUCAGGCUUGAGAUACACACACACACACACACACACACACACACACACACACACACGUAUCGAUAUAAAUAGAUUGAUCGAUUGAUAAAUCUGAAACAUUCUAAAUGGAUUUUAGCAUAGGGUUUUCACAGCAUGUAACGUGCAAUCACGUAUCCUUGUAAAUACUCAGAGUGAGGAUUAGUUAUUUUAGUUUAACGUUCCUAUUCACGUAAUAGAAAGGGACGGUCGGUUGUGAAAAUUAUAUAAAGUAGUGACAAAGAAAAUUAUAUAAACGCUGUCGAUUCCUGUCCUUUAAACUCUCUAAAAUAUGUAACUGCAGAUGUUUAAAAUGAUGGUAAUCAUUCUGGUCAAUAAAAUGAAAAUGAUAUUACACAUCGACCAAUGGCACCGGUCUAGCGCCAUACAUUGUUUCUGUUAAUGCUUCGUACACUAAAACUUACAAAGCCAGUUUAAUAUAUGAUUUUCUUUAAUUUUAUUUACUUAUAUUUUCCUGCAAAUAGCCUCUCAGAAUUAUCUCAGAAUGAUACUAUAUUCUCAUGCUAAUAAAUUUACAAACUAUCUACAUUUAGCAACUUAUACAGUGCUACUUCGGCAUUUGUGAUUAGCAUUCGUUGAUGAAUCCCAGCAUAACUCUAAUCUGCUCGGAAUUAUUUCUCGUAAUACGAUCAACUGACUAUAAACUUUUAUAUUUCAACACACACUUUUAAUGAAAUAUGUAUUAAAUAGCUUAACGCUAACCUAAUUAAUUUUUGCAUUGUAGAUGGUGAGAUGGAAUACCAGAAUUCUGUUAUGUGUACGUCCAACACACUGAUGCACUUUUGAAGUAACUCAUGCACUAAAUAUACGAACAAUUUGUGACUUGGUAUAAUAAACAAAUUCAUCUGUGUCAAAUAAGCUUUCAUACGCCGGGUUUAUCCGAUCUUAGGAGGUCAAAAAGUUUCA